rnacentral:rRNA from 1 species
UACAGAGGGUGCAAGCGUUGUUCGGAAUCAUUGGGCGUAAAGCGCACGUAGGCGGCCGACCAAGUCAGGUGUGAAAGCCUGGGGCUCAACCCCAGAAGUGCACUUGAAACUCUCAAGCUUGAGUGUGGCAGAGGGGGGUGGAAUUCCACGUGUAGCAGUGAAAUGCGUAGAGAUGUGGAGGAACACCGAUGGCGAAGGCAGCCCCCUGGGCUAACACUGACGCUCAGGCACGAAAGCGUGGGGAGCGAACAGG